rnacentral:rRNA from 1 species
GACGAACGCUGGCGGCGUGCCUAAUACAUGCAAGUAGAACGCUGAAGAGAGGAGCUUGCUCUUCUUGGAUGAGUUGCGAACGGGUGAGUAACGCGUAGGUAACCUGCCUUGUAGCGGGGGAUAACUAUUGGAAACGAUAGCUAAUACCGCAUAACAAUGGAUGACACAUGUCAUUUAUUUGAAAGGGGCAAUUGCUCCACUACAAGAUGGACCUGCGUUGUAUUAGCUAGUAGGUGAGGUAAUGGCUCACCUAGGCGACGAUACAUAGCCGACCUGAGAGGGUGAUCGGCCACACUGGGACUGAGACACGGCCCAGACUCCUACGGGAGGCAGCAGGAGGGAAUCUUCGGCAAUGGGGGCAACCCUGACCGAGCAACGCCGCGUGAGUGAAGAAGGUUUUCGGAUCGUAAAGCUCUGUUGUAAGUCAAGAACGGGUGUGAGAGUGGAAAGUUCACACUGUGACGGUAGCUUACCAGAAAGGGACGGCUAACUACGUG